AAAAGAACUCUGAAUAGAGAGUUAAAUAGUACGUGAAACUGCUUAGAGGUUAAGCCCGAUGAACCUGAAUAUUCAUUAUAAAGAAUUCAUCAUCAAUUUAUAUAUAUAAAAUAAUAUAUGUAUAUAAUGGUGUGCAUUUUCUUUAUAUAAGGACAUUGUAAUCUAUUAAUAUAAAUAAUUAUUUAUUAUAAGAUCAAUGUGCAAAAGUUUAUUAUAAUUAUAUUAUCUUUUAGAUAAUAGUAUUUGAUAAAUGCGCUGUUGAUUUAAUAAAGUAUUGAUAGAUUUAAUCAUAUGUAUGGUGCAAAAAUUUCUUUUGAAAUUUUAUAUGUUGAAAAAUAUAUAAGCACUUAUACGAUUAACAAUGCGAAAGAUUCAGGAUACCUUCGGGAC
rnacentral:rRNA from 1 species